GACGAACGCUGGCGGCGUGCUUAACACAUGCAAGUCGAGCGGUAAGGCCCUUUCGGGGGUACACGAGCGGCGAACGGGUGAGUAACACGUGGGUGACCUGCCCUCAGCUCUGGGAUAAGCCUGAGAAACUGGGUCUAAUACUGGAUAUGACUCCACGGUGCAUGUCGUGGGGUGGAAAGCCUUGUGCGGCUGAGGAUGGGCCCGCGGCCUAUCAGCUUGUGGUGGGGGAUGGCCUACCAAGGCGACGACGGGUAGCCGGCCUGAGAGGGCGACCGGCCACACUGGGACUGAGACACGGCCCAGACUCCUACGGGAGGCAGCAGUGGGGAAUCUUGCGCAAUGGGCGAAAGCCUGACGCAGCGACGCCGCGUGAGGGA
rnacentral:rRNA from 1 species